UACGUAGGGUGCAAGCGUUGUCCGGAAUUAUUGGGCGUAAAGAGCUCGUAGGCGGUCUGUCGCGUCUGCUGUGAAAACCUAGGGCUUAACUCUGGGCGUGCAGUGGGUACGGGCAGGCUAGAGUGCGGUAGGGGAGUCUGGAAUUCCUGGUGGUAAGCGGUGAAAUGCGCAGAUAUCAGGAGGAACACCCGUGGCGAAGGCGGCUCUCUGGGACGGUACUGACGGCUGAGACGCGAAAGCGUGGGGGAGCGAACAGG
rnacentral:rRNA from 1 species